GUCGAACGGUGAUCUCGGUGCUUGCACCGGGUGAUCAGUGGCGAACGGGUGAGUAACACGUGAGCAACCUGCCCCUGACUCUGGGAUAACCCCGAGAAAUCGGAGCUAAUACCGGAUACGAGACGCACAGGCAUCUGUAGCGUCUGGAAAGAAUUUUGGUCAGGGAUGGGCUCGCGGCCUAUCAGCUUGUUGGUGGGGUAACGGCCCACCAAGGCGACGACGGGUAGCCGGCCUGAGAGGGCGACCGGCCACACUGGGACUGAGACACGGCCCAGACUCCUACGGGAGGCAGCAGUGGGGAAUAUUGCACAAUGGGCGAAAGCCUGAUGCAGCGACGCCGCGUGGGGGAUGAAGGCCUUCGGGUUGUAAACCCCUUUCAGCAGGGAAGAAGCGAAAGUGACGGUACCUGCAGAAGAAGCGCCGGCUAACUACGUGCCAGCAGCCGCGGUAAUACGUAGGGCGCAAGCGUUGUCCGGAAUUAUUGGGCGUAAAGAGCUCGUAGGCGGUCUGUCGCGUCUGCUGUGAAAACCCGAGGCUCAACCUCGGGCCUGCAGUGGGUACGGGCAGACUAGAGUGCGGUAGGGGAGACUGGAAUUCCUGGUGUAGCGGUGGAAUGCGCAGAUAUCAGGAGGAACACCGAUGGCGAAGGCAGGUCUCUGGGCCGCAACUGACGCUGAGGAGCGAAAGCAUGGGGAGCGAACAGGAUUAGAUACCCUGGUAGUCCAUGCCGUAAACGUUGGGCACUAGGUGUGGGGCUCAUUCCACGAGUUCCGUGCCGCAGCAAACGCAUUAAGUGCCCCGCCUGGGG
rnacentral:rRNA from 1 species